UCACUUCUCCCCAUUACAUCAGCAGCCCCCGCCCUUUCCUCCGAGCACCUCCUCUCCUGGAACCGUCGCCACGCACUGGCGCUCCCUUCGCCCACCCCCCGCUCUAUUAUAUGCCCUGAUACCUCCCCAUUAUCACCCGCCCCGCUACACUCCCCCUCUCCUCUUCCCCCUCCGCGGCGGGGGAGGGAGGAAACCCAAGAGAGGAAACGGGGCGUUGAAGGAAGGGACUUGGCGAUAAGAGCGGAGGCCGCAUUGGCCCGGAGGUUGUACAGGCAGCUCCUAUUGGCCGCUCGACCGGAAUCCCCGCCCCUCUCCUUCCCCGCCCAUCCACCCCUCCCCCUCCCCGCCGCCCCGCGGCCCUCCCCCGCGCCCCUGGCCAGCCCCGCGGCGGGGAGGGACCGACUGGGCGAGAGUGGAGUCUCCGGCGGUGUCAAUGGCUCCUCCUGCCACGGAGCAGCAGCAGAAGCAGCGGCGACGGGGCUAGGAGGAGGAGGAGGAGGAGGAAAGGCUCCUUUAAGGAGGAGGAACGACGACGCCUCUUUUUCCCCCUAUCUCCUCCCUUCACACUCAUUUCCCCUUCGCGGAGGAGAGAAGGGGGGGGAGGAGAGAGAAGAGGCCGAAGAAAGAGAAAAAAAUUCGUUUCAGAAAUCUCUUUCAGGGGGUGUAGGGGGAAGGAAGAGGGAAACGCGGAGCCGGGCGCCCCCUGCUCCCUCCCUCCCUUCUCUCCCUCGCUUCUCCUCCUUCUCCCUUCCUCUCCCGCCCGCCCACUCCCCCCGCCGCUGGAGACGCCGCUCGGGAGUCGGCGGGACCGGGCUCCGUCUCCGCCGCCGCGGCCGCCGCGCUUCGCCUCGGGAUCCCCAAGCGGGCGGACGCCCUUUCUUUCUUUCCUCUCGCUCGCUCUGCCCGUCUUUCUGCCUCCGUCCCUCGCGGCCGCCCCGCCCGGCGGCCUCGGCCUUCCCCGCGCUCAGGCCCGGCCGGCCUAGCUCGCUCUCCGCCUGUCUUCCCCAGCCUUUCUCUCGACUCGGGGUCCCGCUCGCCCCCUCCGCCCUCCGCGGCGCCCCUUCCCCAUGCACCCUCUCCUCCCUCACCCCCGUGCGAAGAGACGGGACUUUUGACUUGGAGCUCAUUGUACGGGAGUGA
rnacentral:lncRNA from 1 species